UUCGCCCUUAGAGUUUGCUUUUGGGUCAGGACGAACGCUGGCGGCGUGCUUAACACAUGCAAGUCGAGCGGAGACUUAUUGAGGAAGUUUUCGGAUGGAAUUGAUAAGUUUUAGCGGCGGACGGGUGAGUAACGCGUGAGCAACCUUUCCUUCACUGGGGAAUAACACAGGGAAACUUGUACUAAUACCGCAUGAGACCACAGGACCGCAUGGUUCAGGGGUCAAAGAUUUAUCGGUGAAGGGUGGGCUCGCGUCCGAUUAGGUAGUUGGUGAGGUAACGGCCCACAAAGCCGACGAUCGGUAGCCGACCUGAGAGGGUGAUCGGCCACAUUGGGACUGAGACACGGCCCAAACUCCUACGGGAGGCAGCAGUGGGGAAUAUUGGGCAAUGGGGGAAACCCUGACCCAGCAACGCCGCGUGGAGGAAGAAGGUUUUCGGAUCGUAAACUCCUGUCCUCAGGGAAGAGCAGAAGACGGUACCUGAGGAGGAAGCCACGGCUAACUACGUGCCAGCAGCCGCGGUAAUACGUAGGUGGCAAGCGUUAUCCGGAUUUACUGGGUGUAAAGGGCGCGUAGGCGGGGAUGCAAGUCAGAUGUGAAAUCUAUGGGCUCAACUCAUAAACUGCAUUUGAAACUGUAUCUCUUGAGUGCUGGAGAGGUAGAUGGAAUUCCUUGUGUAGCGGUGAAAUGCGUAGAUAUAAGGAAGAACACCAGUGGCGAAGGCGCCUUGCUGGACGAUAACUGACGCUGAGGCGCGAAAGCGUGGGGAGCAAACAGGAUUAGAUACCCUGGUAGUCCACGCUGUAAACGAUGAAUACUAGGUGUGGGGAGGACUGACCCCUUCCGUGCCGCAGUUAACACAAUAAGUAUUCCACCUGGGGAGUACGACCGCAAGGUUGAAACUCAAAGGAAUUGACGGGGGCCCGCACAAGCAGUGGAUUAUGUGGUUUAAUUGGACGCAACGCGAAGAACCUUACCAGGGUUUGACAUCCAACUAACGAAGUAGAGAUACAUUAGGUGCCCUUCGGGGAAAGUUGAGACAGGUGGUGCAUGGUUGUCGUCAGCUCGUGUCGUGAGAUGUUGGGUUAAGUCCCGCAACGAGCGCAACCCCUAUUGUUAGUUGCUACGCAAGAGCACUCUAGCGAGACUGCCGUUGACAAAACGGAGGAAGGCGGGGACGACGUCAAAUCAUCAUGCCCCUUAUAUCCUGGGCUACACACGUAAUACAAUGGUGGUAAACAGAGGGAAGCAAUAGAGCGAUCUGGAGCAAAUCCCUAAAAGCCAUCUCAGUUCGGAUUGCAGGCUGCAACUCGCCUGCAUGAAGCUGGAAUUGCUAGUAAUCGCGGAUCAGCAUGCCGCGGUGAAUACAAUGCCGGGCCUUGCACACACCGCCCGUCA
rnacentral:rRNA from 1 species